GGCGAACGGGUGAGUACAACAUCGGAACGUAUCCUGAAGUGGGGGAUAGCCCGGCGAAAGCCGGAUUAAUACCGCAUGAUCUCUUAGGAGCAAAGCGGGGGAGCCGUAAGGUCCUCGCGCUAUUGGAGCGGCCGAUGCCGGAUUAGCUUGUUGGUGGGGUAAAGGCCUACCAAGGCAACGAUCCGUAGCUGGUCUGAGAGGAUGAUCAGCCACACUGGAACUGAGACACGGUCCAGACUCCUACGGGAGGCAGCAGUGGGGAAUUUUGGACAAUGGGGGCAACCCUGAUCCAGCCAUGCCGCGUGCGGGAAGAAGGCCUUCGGGUUGUAAACCGCUUUCAUACGGGACGAAAUGGUGCAGGUUAAUACCCUGUAUUGAUGACGGUACCGUAAGAAGAAGCACCGGCUAACUACGUGCCAGCAGCCGCGGUAAUACGUAGGGUGCGAGCGUUAAUCGGAAUUACUGGGCGUAAAGCGUGCGCAGGCGGCUCUUUAAGACAGGUGUGAAAUCCCCGGGCUUAACCUGGGAAUUGCGCUUGUGACUGGGGAGCUCGAGUGCGGCAGAGGGGGAUGGAAUUCC
rnacentral:rRNA from 1 species